AUCACUUCCUGGCCUUUGGGCUAAGCGUCUGAGUUUUAUCCGUUUAAUAUCUAAAAUGUCCUCUUUCCAAGGACAAUGUGGUAAGUGGAUUUUUGGAGCAGGGAGAUGGACUGGGAACUUGCUGUGUCCACUCCACCUCAUACUGGUAUUACAGUCCUCCAGGAAUGGGGUGCCCCUU
ensembl:snRNA U2 U2 spliceosomal RNA